rnacentral:rRNA from 1 species
UACGUAGGGUGCAAGCGUUGUCCGGAAUUAUUGGGCGUAAAGGGCUCGUAGGCGGUCUGUCACGUCGGGAGUGAAAACUCGGGGCUUAACCCCGAGCCUGCUUCCGAUACGGGCAGACUAGAGGUAUGCAGGGGAGAAUGGAAUUCCUGGUGUAGCGGUGAAAUGCGCAGAUAUCAGGAGGAACACCGGUGGCGAAGGCGGUUCUCUGGGCAUUACCUGACGCUGAGGAGCGAAAGCGUGGGGAGCGAACAGG